AACGAACGCUGGCGGCAUGCCUAACACAUGCAAGUCGAACGAGACCUUCGGGUCUAGUGGCGCACGGGUGCGUAACGCGUGGGAACCUGCCCUUAGGUUCGGAAUAACUCCCCGACAGGGGUGCUAAUACCGGAUAAUGUCUUCGGACCAAAGAUUUAUCGCCUUUGGAUGGGCCCGCGUUGGAUUAGCUAGUUGGUAGGGUAAAAGCCUACCAAGGCGACGAUCCAUAGCUGGUCUGAGAGGAUGAUCAGACACACUGGGACUGAGACACGGCCCAGACUCCUACGGGAGGGAGCAGUGGGGAAUAUUGGAAAAUGGGCGAAAGCAUGAACCAGCAAUGCCGCGUGAGUGAUGAAGGCCGUAGGGUUGUAAAGCUCUUUUACCCGGGAUGAUAAUGACAGUACCGGGAGAAUAAGCACCGGCUAACUCCGUG
rnacentral:rRNA from 1 species